rnacentral:rRNA from 1 species
GAUGAACGCUGGCGGCGUGCCUAACACAUGCAAGUCGAACGAAACUUCUUUAUCACCGAGCUCUUGCAGUCAGCGAGAAAGGGAUGAGUGGCGAACGGGUGGGAAACUCGUUUUUAACGUGGGCUAAAGAGGGGGAAAUUACUCUGAAACAGGAUCUAAUACCGCAGAACAAUAGUUAGCGCUUGGUAACUUUGGAAAAGGUGGCUGUCCAACUGCGAUUGGAUGGGUCGGUGGCGCAUUAGCUAGUUGGGAGGGUAAAGGCUUACCAAGGCAAAGAUGCGUAGCUGAAUUGAGAGGUUGAUCAGCCACAUUGGGACUGAGACACGGCCCAAACUCCUACGGGAGGCAGCAGUAGGGAAUAUUCCACAAUGGGCGAAAGCCUGAUGGAGCAACGCCGCGUGGGUGAAGAAGGCCUUCGGAUCGUAAAGCCCUGUUGUUAGGAAAGAAAGUGAGCGAGAUUAACUGUUCACGUUCUGACGGUACCUAAAGAAAAAGCCCCGGCUAACUACGUG